rnacentral:rRNA from 1 species
AGAGUUUGAUCCUGGCUCAGGAUAAACGCUGGCGGCGCACAUAAGACAUGCAAGUCGAACGGACUUAACCAUUAGUUUACUAUUGGAGCGGUUAGUGGCGGACUGGUGAGUAACACGUAAGCAAUCUGCCUAUCAGAGGGGAACAACGAGUUAGAAAUGACUGCUAAUACCGCAUAUACCCAAGUGUCACAUGGCACAAUGGGGAAAGGAGCAAUCCGCUGAUAGAUGGGCUUGCGU